GGCGCCUUUCCGUAAAACUGGAACCUGAAGUGUUGUUGUAAAUGGCUUCCGCGUUUCAAAAUGGGUUCCAGCAGGCAUAUUGAAUGUGUAUCACCCUGGUCGUCAUGGAAACCAGACGUGUAAGUUCAGCCACAAUGAUGGAAAUCAAAUAAAAACUAAUCAAAGCUCUGGGACUCUGCUAGAAAGAUAUAUAAUAAUAAC